UACGAAGGGGGCUAGCGUUGCUCGGAAUCACUGGGCGUAAAGGGUGCGUAGGCGGGUCUUAAGUCAGGGGUGAAAUCCUGGAGCUCAACUCCAGAACUGCCUUUGAUACUGAAGAUCUUGAGUUCGGGAGAGGUGAGUGGAACUGCGAGUGUAGAGGUGAAAUUCGUAGAUAUUCGCAAGAACACCAGUGGCGAAGGCGGCUCACUGGCCCGAUACUGACGCUGAGGCACGAAAGCCAGGGGAGCAAACGGG
rnacentral:rRNA from 1 species